rnacentral:lncRNA from 1 species
AUUUGUAUACCUUGCACUGAAGCUUUGUAGGUGAAGCUUUGCAAGUGAAGCUUUGAAGCUGGAGUUUUGUAAAUGAAGCUUUUGAAGCUAGAGCUCUGUAAAUGAAGCUUUUGAAGCUGAUUGACAUGAGUGAUGCUCAUGAAUGUUUAUGUUGAUUGACAUGAGUAAUGCUCAUGGAUGUUGUCAUGAGUGAUGUUCAUGAAUGUUAACAUGAGUGGUGCUCAUGAAUGUUGACAUGAAUGAUGGUCAUGAAUGUUUAUGUAUGAUUGUCAUGAGCGAUGCUCAUGAAUGUUUAUGUAUGAAUGACAUGAGUAUUGCUCAUGUAUAAUUUGGAGUACUGGGCGUACUUUUGAUCACCUAGUUGGUGGUAUGAAGUAGAGUACGGGUUGUACAUUUCCUCACCUGGUUGGUGGCAUGAAUGGCUAGUUGCCAAAUGAUAUUUUAGAGUACGGGUUGUACAUUUCAUCACCUGGUUGGUGGCAUGAAUGGCUAGUUGCCAAAUGAUAUUAGAGUAUGAGUUGUACAUUUCAUCACCUGGUUAGUGGUAAUAGCUGCAGGUUGCCGAAUAAUUUUGGAGUACUGGGCGUACUUUUGAUCACUUGGUUGGUGGUAAUAGCGGCAGGUUGUCGAAUAAUUUUGGAGUACUAGGCGAACUUUUGGUCACCUGGUUGGUGAUAAUAGAGGCAGAUUGCCGAAUAAUUUUGAAGUACUGGGCGUACUUUUGGUCACCUGGUUGAUGCUAUUUUGGGCUCAUGGG